rnacentral:rRNA from 1 species
UACGGAGGGUGCGAGCGUUGUCCGGAAUCACUGGGCUUAAAGCGCGUGUAGGCGGCCCGGCACGUCCGUCGCUGAAAUCCCCCGGCUCAACCGGGGAAGUGGCGUGGAUACGACCGGGCUGGAGGGGGGUAGGGGGAGCCGGAACUUCCGGUGGAGCGGUGAAAUGCGUUGAGAUCGGAAGGAACGCCCGUGGCGAAAGCGGGCUCCCGGACCCCACCUGACGCUGAGACGCGAAAGCCAGGGGAGCGAACGGG